rnacentral:lncRNA from 1 species
UUCCUACAUCUCAGAGUCUUUUGGGCUUCCUGUGAGGCUCAUUCACUCCCUGCUGACUUGGCACAACCUGGCACCUGUUAUCGGUGUUUCCAACAUGAUAAAAUACUCAGCUGAGAAGUCACAUGGACCAUCUCAUCAAGACUGAAGAUUUGCAAGUAGGGAUUACAGUAUCUCAGAUGAUAAACAAGGUAAUAAAAAUCACUGAACAGUGAUCCACAAAGUUAAGCAAAGCAACAAAUCUGGAUUAUAAGAGCAACACAGACGUGGAAAUCAAAAAAAUAAUUAGUCCAACCAACUGUUUUGCAUUUAACUGACUAAAAGAAUAUCAGGAUAGCUGGAAGUUCAAGAGGAAGAAGGGGAGAACAGACAAACAAAAAAACCCAACCCAACAAAAAAAGACGACUUCAUAAAGUAAAAGCAACUAAUAAUGAAAGACGAUAUAUACCAAACUGCAAUUGGUAGCGUGGGGUAAGUGAAUAGCGCCAUGAAGUAGUACCACAGAAGCAGCAGGAAUCUUGUGACCUCAGCACAGUCCAGCUGCUGCAGGUCUGUUCCACAGCAUCAGACACCCCCAGUCUGAUCUCAUGCAGCUGUGGCUCUCCUCUCCACCCACCUUUCCC